GCAGGGCACAAGGAGCCCUUCUCACCAUGCAUAGGGAACCCCAGCCAUGGUGGCUUUGGUCAGCUCCAGAUCUUUGCUGCAAACAAACCUCCUGCUAAAAGCAUCUCCAGCUCUGAACCAAAACUGUUGCAUCAUUUGCUACUAAAAAUAAUGUCAAUGAAUGCAAGAAUUCAUCAAUUCUCCUAAGGAAGAGAAAAGAUGAUCCCAUUAACCUCCAUUACAGCCAUCGCCAUUAAGAGAUACCAUUAACCUGCAGUUCCACACUGUCUUGUUGGAGGUAUUACAGUCGUUACUGUAAUUUUGGAGGUGCUCUGGCCAUCCCUGUGUGUGGCAACUCCUGGCAAAUGCUGACACUUUACAGGGAGUGCUGCAGCCAAGUACACUGUUGGGUUGGGAGGCCCAACCUAUGCAGUCUUCCCUCUGCAUUCUGGCUGCGCAUGCAGAAGCCUAUCUGAAACCAUACUGUGGCAAAUGCAGUGAUGGCUGUGCACAUCCCUAGGCCUUGGAUUAGAGCUUCAGAACAGGAUCAAGACCCCCCCAUAUGAAAUUAUCUCAUUGCCUUACAGCAGUAGAUCAACACAGAGAACAAUGCAAGUACUUGGAGCUUUAAUGGCAGCACGUUGCUUGGUGGAUGCUUCAUUUCCUAAGUACGGCCUGCUGUGAAAGACAGAGAGCGUGCAUGAGCAGACCUGGCAUAAUCUGCGAGGAUAGUGUCUGUGAGGAAAUCAAGUGGAAGUCUCUGGAGCUUUCCUGAAUCUACUCCUAGAUCACCUGGGGUGUUCUCCUCCUGGUUAGGAGCCUCUCUCAUCCACUCCCUGGCUAUUACAUGGAGCUCAUGGAUUGCAACCUUCAAUACGAUCCCAGAAUAAUAUAAGAUCCACAAAGAAUCAUUUAUCUGAAAUGACGCGUCUGAUGCUCUUAUGUAAGUUUUCCUAAGAGAUUUCUGAGUGUCCUAGUGGCUGACGGUAAAGACACCAAGGACUCAGAGUCAUGGGUUUCUCUUUAUUACAAGCCCUGAAACAUUCAGCCUAAAGACAAAGCUGAGUGAAUUAAUGUUUUCUGACAACUAAGAUCCUGCAUUGUCCCAGCAAAGUCCUUUCAAAGACCCCUUUAAGAAUGGAGCGGUUUUGGGGCUGAAAAGAUCCUAGUUCUGAAACUGGUCUUUAUCUUCUAUUGCUAUCAAAAUGUUUUGUGCUUUAAAUAUGCACUUGCUAUUUCUUAGUUUUAGACUACCCUAAUACCAAAUUAGCCUUCUGAGUAGAGGUCAGGAGUGCAGGAGUGCAGGUCUUACUGGUUCAAUUAAAGGGAGGAACACAAAAUCACACAGGCUAAUGCCAAAGUCUUUGUCAACAGCUUCCUGAAUAUCUAGAGACUGAUCAGAUGUGAGCUGUCUAUACAGCCACAUAAUGCUGUUAUUAGAGACACAUUAGUGUGAGGUUGUUUUUAUUUUAGUAUGCAUGGCUAAUAGAUACAUUAAUUUCAGAGCUUUCACUGCAAAAGUCUUGGACUGGUGCUUCUGGUUAAUUAUUAAUCUGAGUCUUCCUCUUCUUUUUUUCAGUGUAUUUACUACUUAGCCUUGAAUCUCUCUGUUUUUUUGUUUGUUUGUUUUUAGUUUGUUUUCCCCAGAAUGCUUCCAUAUAGCAAAGCUCAGUUAGCUACGUAUUUGCUGCUUUGUUACUUGCCAGUGUCCUUAAUAACGAUGAAAUGAUAACUACAAUUUACCAACAAAUGUUUCGGAUUUCGCGAGCUGCAGAUACCUGGAGAAUGCACUUUGUGUUAACAGUUGAUGCACUGUUGGUAUAUGGACAAAAACAGGGCCGAUGCAUUUGUGUAAAGGCACCCUUUCAAUACAUUUGUGUAAAGAUCCCCUUUUAAAAGUGAUUUUCCUUUCUUUCUUUCUUUGGUUUUUUUUUGGUUUGUGUCCUUGUGCCUGAACAUUUGACCCCGGGAGAGC